AUGGAGCAAAGAUGGCAUGAGAUUUCAUCGCGCUACUCAGAACUGUGUGGAAUUUCAAACUUAUCAAUUGUUUAUUUCUGGAAUUUUCCCUUCAGUGAAACCAAGGAAAGCAAUAUCACAGAUAAAGGGGAUUUCCGAAUAUAUAAACAAAAAGCAUUUACUGAAUACAAGAAUAAACUAUUUCUGCUCC
ensembl:lncRNA novel transcript